rnacentral:lncRNA from 12 species
CUUUUAAGGGGAAAUUCUUUUUCCACACGAGCCACGGGCAGUAAAGAGAGUAAGCUGAGGCUUGUCAUUGAGGUGAGCCUCAUGACCUCUGCCACACAACGCACCCCUUCUUUGCCCCUGCUAUAACCUGCCUCACCCAAGAGGAGCUCCCCAGAGACACAGGGGCUGUCCCUCAGGCAUGCAGAGCCCCAGCAGCCAGCCCAGCCCCCGCAGCAGCUCCCAACCUUGAGCGGCGUUUGCGGCACGUCCAGCGCGCGCAGCGGCUCGGCGGCGCGGCCGCUCUCGCUGGGGCAGCUGCCUGCUGCCAGCUGCCCCUUGGGGUGACAUCCUGGCACAGCCUUCCCCUGCACUGCCAGCUUCUGCUUGUCUUGAAACGCUGCUCUGGUACUUCUCUGAUCUCUCACGUUAUCGUUGCUACCAAAAAGGCUGCCGGAAAACUUGGAAAUAGGUUCCUGAGGGUUAGAGAUAAAAAAUGUAAACAAAGCAACAGGAAGGAGAAUCUGAAACACAGAC